GCUCAUUCCUUCUAUUCUUCUCUCUAUACGUUGGUGUUCUAACCAAUAAUCACCGAUGCAAUAUUCUGUCCGACCGAUUCGGGAACCAACUAACGAACGCCAAAGUGCUAUCUAAAUAAGACUAUACUUUGUGAAUUUCGUUAAGGUUCGUAUCUCGUGACCAUCGUUAGGUUUGAUGUGGUUUUACACUAAUACGUAUUCCACUAUGUUAAACUAAAUGUUUAACUAUCAGAAAACUCCGAUCCAUAAACCUACUAUCAAACAAGAUGUAUAAUCAUCAGAAGACUUAGAAUCAAGAUGCUUGUUUAAUCAAAACUGUAUGCUAACAAGGUGAGUCAUUCUGUUUUUAUCAAAGUUGCUUUGUAAAACCCUAAAUGUUUUCCAGUUAUAAGUACAGUGAUUAAGUCUUUGCAAAUCUUUAAUUACAGGCAGUAAGUGGGGGUAUGUGCACAUUACUAUUAAUGAUUUAUCACUCUUAGGUGGGCGAGCCUAAUUAGUGAUAUGUCCACAGUCAUAGAUCCGGUCGAGUGACAACUGGACCAGAUAAUUAUAAGAUAAGGGGCAAAUGUAAAAACUCUUAAUGUUGUGAAUUAUAACAAAGUUGUAAUUGCAGUGAUUAAGUCUUUGUCAAUCUUAAAGGAGCAAAUGUAAACACUCUUAAUACUGUAAAUUAUAACAAAUAUGUUUUUGUACAAAAAUGAAUGAACUCACCAGUGAUUACAGUAGAUUGGAAUAAGAGUGAUGAUACGGCACCGAAAGGCUUAAAGAAGUGGCUUAUUUUAUCAAUUAAAUUAAAUUAAGAAAACAUUGUUUCAUAUAUUCGGGUUUAUCCCAUAUUAAAGCUACCUUUGUAAAACAUGGGUUUAUUCCCAUCUGUUUAAUAAAUAAAAUCUGGUGUUUCUAAACUCUGAUAUUUUCCUAACUCAUGGUCCUGAUGAAAUUUCCUCUGCAAUAUUUUCAAAAUAACCACCGGUACCACUUGACUGCUCGCGGCUCCCGUCCAGGCUGUGGUCGGGGGUCGUGACAUCUACAUUUGGUAGAGUUUUCUUAUAAUAAUAGUUAUCAUAACAGCAUAAAAAUGGCCCCUUACGAGAUGCUCUAUGGAAGGAAAUGUAGAACCCCGGUUUGUUGGGGGAAGUGGGUCAGCGUGAACUCGCGUCAAAGGAUGUAGUAGCCAAAACGAAUGAGAAGAUUGAUAUGGUUAGAUCAAGAAUAAAAGCAGCGCAUGAUGGACAAAAAUCUUAUGUUGAUCGGCGAAGGCGACCAAUUGAGUUCUAAGUGGGAGAUUAUGUCUUACUAAAAGUCUCUCCAUGGAAAGGGAUAAUUCGUUUUCGUAAUCGUGGGAAGUUAGGUCCUCGAUACAUUGGACCAUUCAAAAUACUCGCUCGGGUCGGGUCGGUAACGUACCAGUUAGAAUUACCUCCCGCGUUGGAUGGAAUUCAUAACACUUUUCAUGUAUCGCAACCGCGAAAGUGCCUCGCGGAUGAGACGGCAUACGUGCCUUUGGAUGAUAUUGAAGUGGAUGAGAAGUUAAAUUAUGUUGAAAAGCCCGUGGCAAUAAAAGAUUCUAAAGUGAAGAACUCCGCAACAAGUCCAUUCGACAAGUGUUGGUUCAAUGGCAACAACGAAAGCGAUCGGAACUUACGUGGGAAGCGGAGGAUGAAAUGCGGAUGCACUACACGGAGUUAUUUGGUAUGUAUUCUAGUUUCGGGGACGAAACCAUCUUUAAGGGGGGUAGACUUGUAACACCCCAAAUUUCGUAUGACAUAAUAUAAUGUUUUAAUCGCAAAAUUUUGACGAAAAGAAAUGGUAAAUAUAAUUUUUUUUACCAUCAUUAAGGUU
rnacentral:lncRNA from 1 species